AAAUUGAAGAGUUUGAUCAUGGCUCAGAUUGAACGCUGGCGGCAGGCCUAACACAUGCAAGUCGAGCGGAAACGAGUUAUCAGAACCUUCGGGGGACGAUAACGGCGUCGAGCGGCGGACGGGUGAGUAAUGCCUAGGAAAUUGCCCUGAUGUGGGGGAUAACCAUUGGAAACGAUGGCUAAUACCGCAUGAUGCCUACGGGCCAAAGAGGGGGACCUUCGGGCCUCUCGCGUCAGGAUAUGCCUAGGUGGGAUUAGCUAGUUGGUGAGGUAAGGGCUCACCAAGGCGACGAUCCCUAGCUGGUCUGAGAGGAUGAUCAGCCACACUGGAACUGAGACACGGUCCAGACUCCUA
rnacentral:rRNA from 1 species